rnacentral:lncRNA from 1 species
GGAAGAUGUAGAGGAGGGAUAGGUGUCCAUGCCAUUCCCCAGAGUGUUCAGAACCAGAUAAAGCCUGGGGAUGAAGGAAGUGAGUUAUAACAUGAACUACAGGACCAUGGUUGUGACCAGCUAUGAACGGCUACGAGGAGGGACAGGCGGGCACUGUUCUGUGAGUUGGGGAGAGAGACAAUGAGGAUCCAGGAAGGCCAUAGAAAACCUGUGUCUCAAAAUGAGAUCAGGGCCAAAUCACUAUGUCUUGGUCAUGAGGCUGAGAGAAGAUCAAGCCUGUAGCCCAAGGAGAGUGAUGCACAGGUAGGUUAAAGGUCAUCCUUAGCAGAGUGGGCCAGCUGGGUUUUAUUAGAUAAGAAGAAACUAGGGGCUCCAGACCCUGCCCCCCAAAAAGUCCCAAUGUCAGGUGAUCAUCUGUUGGAAAGAAUUCAAAGCACAAACACUGAUCUGCACACGAUUACCACAAGCACAGUUCUGCUCAAUGUCAGUUGCAUUUAUUUAAAGAUGAAUUUUUAAAAGCAGUAUUGAUGGCUUAGGAGGCAGCAGUCACUUCUGGUUUUCCUUUUGACACUAUUUGAAACACUACAAAUCACAGAUGCACCAGUUCUUCCCAAAGACCAUGCCAAGUGUGGUAGAAAGCCUGCACGCCUAGGAAUGGAUCUGUUGGUGGUAUAGGCAUGCUUACAUGUGUUCUGUUCUGAUGAUGAUGUAUACCUGAAGGAAGACAUGGUUAAAAACCAAACUUCAAAAAUAAGAACCCAACCUAAUCCUGAAAUAUAUCUAACUUGAAGUUUUGGAUGGUGUUUUUGAGGAUAAAACUGUCUGGGGUAUUAUAUGUAAAUCAGUAUUUAUGAAUAAGUAAAAGUGUGUUUAGACUAGAUUUGUUUACCUGAUUAAAUGUUUUUGGAAUGUG